rnacentral:rRNA from 1 species
GAUGAACGCUAGCGGCAGGCCUAAUACAUGCAAGUCGAACGGUGUCUUCGGACAUAGUGGCGCACGGGUGCGUAGCACGUAUGCAACCUACCUUACAUUGGGGGAUAGCCUUUCGAAAGGGAGAUUAAUACCGCAUAAGACAGUAGCUGGGCAUCCAGCAGCUGUUAAAGAUUUAUCGAUGUAAGCUGGGCAUGCGUCCAAUUAGCUAGUUGGUGAGGUAACGGCUCACCAAGGCAAUGAUUGGUAGGGGAACUGAGAGGUCAAUCCCCCACACUGGCACUGAGAUACGGGCCAGACUCCUACGGGAGGCAGCAGUAGGGAAUAUUGGGCAAUGGACGCAAGUCUGACCCAGCCAUGCCGCGUGCAGGAUGAAGGCGUUAUGCGUUGUAAACCGCUUUUAUACAGGAAGAAACGACUCUUGCGAGAGGCAUUGACGGUACUGUAUGAAUAAGCACCGGCUAACUCCGUGCCAGCAGCCGCGGUAACAC